GUAGGGAAUAUUGGACAAUGGAGGCAACUCUGACCCAGCCAUGCCGCGUGCAGGAUGACGGCCCUCUGGGUUGUAAACUGCUUUUAUACGGGAAGAAAAAAUACUACGUGUAGUAUACUGACGGUACCGUAAGAAUAAGGAUCGGCUAACUCCGUGCCAGCAGCCGCGGUAAUACGGAGGAUCCAAGCGUUGUCCGGAUUUAUUGGGUUUAAAGGGUGCGUAGGCGGAUCUUUAAGUCAGUGGUGAAAGCCUGCAGCUUAACUGUAGAAUUGCCAUUGAAACUGAAGAUCUUGAAUGUGGUUAAAGUAGGCGGAAUGUAUCAUGUAGCGGUGAAAUGCUUAGAUAUGAUACAGAACACCGAUAGCGAAGGCAGCUUGCUGAACCAUUAUUGACGCUGAGGCACGAAAGCGUGGGGAGCGAACAGGAUUAGAUACCCGGGUAGUCC
rnacentral:rRNA from 1 species